AGUGAUGCUUUGUUCUGUUCCGUGUCAUCAACUGCCCGUUGUUUUGAUUUGUAUAGCAUGUGUUAUGCUCUGUUAUGCUUUAGCUGCAUUGGUAUUGUGGUGUGCAUUGGGGGUUAGCCUCUCAUAUCGAAGGAAGGAAGCAACCAUUGCAUUUGUGCUUUCGCUGAUGCUUAGGGAAAGUAAACCAUGUGGAGGAGAUAUCAGCUGCAUGUAUUACUAUAUUUUUUCAGCAAGCUGAUUGGGCCUACCAGCUAGAGUGUCGAGGAUCUUAGGUAGAAAGCUCAGUCCAACUGGUCUUGUUUGGACUAUGCCAACCCAGACAACACGUGCUUGUUAUCAAAGCAUCACUAGUAUGCACAUAACUCAAUUCACUGUGCGAGAGCUCACGCAGAGUACAUAUUCUUUAUAUGAGAAAUGCUUCUUAUUUCACUCUACAGACAUGUGUCUAUAUUCUGGCAAUCUGAUGCUUAAAUUCAUUAGUAUUCAAUUUUAGUUAAAUACGAUUGAUAAUAACCAGGUUUGUCGCUUAUGUUUAUUCUUAGUUUGUUCAUGGCAAGUGGUUACUUUCUGUUUGAAUUCUUAAUAAUACUUAUAACAUUAUAUGCUGAAAGAUCAGAGCAUGUUUGAAUAUUUCAAAUGAAGCAUUCAGAAGUAGUGACCUCUUUGGUUCAUUUCCGAAAGAAAACUAAUACUAUUGAGUUGUUUGUGCAUCAACUCUAGAACAUAUAUAUUCUCCUUUUGGGUUACUGCUGCGAUGUAUUUGCAUAUAUUGUCCAGAUCAUCCUACUGUUGCUAAUGCUGCUAGUUAGCAGCUUGGUUAUUCUAAAUUCUAAGCAAGAUAAAUUGGUUGAAUAAGUUUUUCUCUACAUGAUUCUGCCAGAUUUAGAUAGCCAAUCAUUGCUAAUUGGCUUUGUAUUUUGGAAACUGGUUACUUGUGUUACUGUUACUAUGAUGCACGUUUAUAGAUUCCAGGUUUGGUUGUUUAGUUCCUUCAUCCAUCCUUUUCCGGGUAGCAUGGGAGAAGUGGAGGUGGCCAUGAGGGAACCAUGGCUGCCGGAUUCGGCAUGACCUGGUUGUUUCGGCUCCGGCGGCGCAUGUGUUUUGCUGGCUGCAGCCCCUUGUGCCUCGUUGAGGCCAUGCACUUGCUGGAGCUAGGCGAAAGGAGCAGCACCGCUGGUUCGAGGCUGGAGGUUGUUGACAGCAACCUUGAGAAGCAGUGUGAGUCAGGCGUUAUGGGCGCUCAAGUGCUACAAUGAGUUUAUGAGAACACUUGCCAAGGGUGUGUGUGAUUGUGUUAUGCAUCAGAUGUUGCUGCCAGGAUUCAAUGUGAAGGAUAUUGAGGAGGUGUCAUGUGAUUCUUUAGGAGCUGAAGGUUAUGAGCGAUGAUUCUGGCAUUUGAUGUUUAGCUGAAGUAUAUCCAAUGAGAUGUUCCAUCAAGGACCUCAAGGAAUUCUUGAAGGAUCCACGGUCAGAGGCAGCUUCUCACCUUAGUGGUGGCAGAUUUGACUAAUUAGAAAGAAACUAGAGCUCUAGCCACUAAUUUUGUUCACUAAAUCCCAAUAAUGGGGGUGGCUAAGUACCCCUUGGCCCCCCUUGUCUCUGUUUCUGGAAGGAGCUGCCAGACUGAUGGAAGAAGGCAGUGGACAGUGAGGGCAUUGAGGCUAGUGAAGAUCACCAACCCGCAGCACAAUACCCUGUGUGGUGGU